rnacentral:lncRNA from 1 species
UGCUAAAAAGUCAGAUUUUGGUGCCCCUAAAACUCCAAGAAGAUCCGUGAAUGUGCAGCUCUUUCUUUGUCCAAGUGAUUGUCCAAGUUGUCUUGAGCUUGUGUGGUGAAUCUAUGAAGGUUUGGCAAGAUUUUUGAGGUGAAGUUUGUAGAAGAAAUGUUUGAGAAGUUUUCGGUUGUUUCCUCUGCAGCAGCUGGCCGACCAU